CCCUCUCAGGGGUUGCACCUAGAGAGUUCCCAGUCCUCUACCAGCCUCAGCUAUGGGAAGGAGAGUCAAGCAGAGGCCUGUCCAUUCCAUUCCUAGCUUGGCCAGUGGCUAGCAAGUGGAAGGCAAUCUGCUACAAGU